rnacentral:rRNA from 1 species
AGUGAUGUGGAGCAAAUCCCCAAAAGCAGUCUUAGUUCGGAUUGUAGGCUGCAACCCGCCUACAUGAAGUCGGAAUUGCUAGUAAUCGCGGAUCAGCAUGCCGCGGUGAAUACGUUCCCGGGCCUUGUACACACCGCCCGUCACACCAUGGGAGUUGGUAACACCCGAAGUCAGUAGCCUAACCGCAAGGAGGGCGCUGCCGAAGGUGAGAUCGAUGACUGGGGUGAAGUCGUAACAAGGUAUC